GUAAUGGCCCACCAAGACUAUUACAGGUACGGGCUCUGAGAGGAGUAGCCCGGAGAUGGGUACUGAGACACGGACCCAGGCCCUAUGGGGCGCAGCAGGCGAGAAAACUUUGCAAUGUGCGAAAGCACGACAAGGUUAAUCCGAGUGAUUUGUGCUAAACGAAUCUUUUGUUAGUCCUAGAGACACUAACGAAUAAGGGGUGGGCAAGUUCUGGUGUCAGCCGCCGCGGUAAAACCAGCACCUCAAGUGGUCAGGAUGAUUAUUGGGCCUAAAGCAUCCGUAGCCGGCUCUGUAAGUUUUCGGUUAAAAUCUGUAUGCUCAACAUACAGGCUGCCGGGAAUACUGCAGAGCUAGGGAGUGGGAGAGGUAGACGGUACUCGGUAGGAAGGGGUAAAAUCCUUUGAUCUAUCGAUGACCACCUGUGGCGAAGGCGGUCUACCAGAACACGUCCGACGGUGAGGGAUGAAAGCUGGGGGAGCAAACCGGAUUAGAUACCCGGGUAGUCCCAGCUGUAAACUAUGCAAACUCAGUGAUGCAUUGGCUUGUGGCCAAUGCAGUGCUGCAGGGAAGCCGUUAAGUUUGCCGCCUGGGAAGUACGUACGCAAGUAUGAAACUUAAAGGAAUUGGCGGGGGAGCACCACAAGGGGUGAAGCCUGCGGUUCAAUUGGAGUCAACGCCAGAAAUCUUACCCGGAGAGACAGCAGAAUGAAGGUCAAGCUGAAGACUUUACCAGACAAGCUGAGAGGUGGUGCAUGGCCGUCGCCAGCUCGUGCCGUGAGAUGUCCUGUUAAGUCAGGUAACGAGCGAGAUCCCUGCCUCUAGUUGCCACCAUUAUUCUCAGGAAUAGUGGGGCGAAUUAGCGGGACCGCCGCAGUUAAUGCGGAGGAAGGAAGGGGCCACGGCAGGUCAGUAUGCCCCGAAACUCUGGGGCCACACGCGGGCUGCAAUGGUAACGACAAUGGGUUUCGAAUCCGAAAGGAUGAGGUAAUCCUCAAACGUUACCACAGUUAUGACUGAGGGCUGCAACUCGCCCUCACGAAUAUGGAAUCCCUAGUAACUGCGUGUCAUUAUCGCGCGGUGAAUACGUCCCUGCUCCUUGCACACACCGCCCGUCGUUUCAUUGAAGUGAGCUUUUAGCGAGGUGACGUCUAAUUGGCGUUAUCGAACUUGAGGUUCGUGACAAGGGAAAAGUCGUAACAAGGUG
rnacentral:rRNA from 1 species